UACGAAGGGGGCUAGCGUUGUUCGGAAUUACUGGGCGUAAAGCGCACGUAGGCGGAUUUGUAAGUCAGGGGUGAAAUCCCGGGGCUCAACCUCGGAACUGCCUUUGAUACUGCAAGUCUUGAGUCCGGAAGAGGUGAGUGGAAUUCCUAGUGUAGAGGUGAAAUUCGUAGAUAUUAGGAGGAACACCAGUGGCGAAGGCGGCUCACUGGUCCGGUACUGACGCUGAGGUGCGAAAGCGUGGGGAGCAAACAGG
rnacentral:rRNA from 1 species